ACCCAGACUCCUACGGGAGGCAGCAGUGAGGAAUAUUGGUCAAUGGACGCAAGUCUGAACCAGCCAUGCCGCGUGCAGGAAGACGGCUCUAUGAGUUGUAAACUGCUUUUGUACGAGGGUAAACGCAGAUACGUGUAUCUGUCUGAAAGUAUCGUACGAAUAAGGAUCGGCUAACUCCGUGCCAGCAGCCGCGGUAAUACGGAGGAUUCAAGCGUUAUCCGGAUUUAUUGGGUUUAAAGGGUGCGUAGGUGGCAUAGUAAGUAGCUAGUGAAAUCUGGUGGCUCAUCCAUUCAGACUAUUAGCUAAACUGCUAAGCUCGAGACCGUUAGGGGUAACUGGAAUUUCUAGUGUAGGAGUGAAAUCCGUAGAUAUUAGAAGGAACACCGAUAGCGUAGGCAGGUUACUGGGACGGUUCUGACACUAAGGCACGAAAGCGUAGGGAGCAAACGGGAUUAGAUACCCCAGUAACC
rnacentral:rRNA from 1 species